AACGAACGCUGGCGGCAUGCCUAACACAUGCAAGUCGAACGAGACCUUCGGGUCUAGUGGCGCACGGGUGCGUAACGCGUGGGAACCUGCCCUUAGGUUCGGAAUAACUCCCCGAAAGGGGUGCUAAUACCGGAUAAUGUCUUCGGACCAAAGAUUUAUCGCCUUUGGAUGGGCCCGCGUUGGAUUAGCUAGUUGGUAGGGUAAAAGCCUACCAAGGCGACGAUCCAUAGCUGGUCUGAGAGGAUGAUCAGCCACACUGGGACUGAGACACGGCCCAGACUCCUACGGGAGGCAGCAGUGGGGAAUAUUGGACAAUGGGCGAAAGCCUAAUCCAGCAAUGCCGCGUAAGUGAUGAAGGCCUUAGGGUUGUAAAGCUCUUUUACCCGGGAUGAUAAUGACAGUACCGGGAGAAUAAGCACCGGCUAACUCCGUG
rnacentral:rRNA from 1 species